ensembl:lncRNA
AAACAGCCUGGCCAACUGCUGAGGAAAAGCUGUACUUCAACAGAGCAAUAAGGAUGUCCGGAGUGGGGUUUUAAAGAGGUUAUCCUGCUGCUCAGCAGAGAUGCCAUUGCUUCUCAUGUGUGUGCAAAACUUGGCUCACACUAGAGAAUCACCCACUGGGUGAAGAAGCUGAAGAACAAGAAUCUGUGUGCUGCUUAUGUGAAGACAGCAAGCAAGCCUGCAAGAGGCAUGGCACAUCCAUUCAGACAGAGCCUAUCUUGGCAUCUCUUCUGUUCAUUCUUGUACCAAAAAAAAAAAAAAACUUCAAGAAAAAGAACACUUCUGAGAGAUAUCCACACC